UUUUGUAUUGCUAUUCUUCUUCUGCAAAUUCUCACAAAAACCUAAUUUGUUUCCUGGUUUUUUGGUUACCUGCUCUGUUUUCAGAAAUGAAGGAUUGAGAACGAUAAUGCCCGGGGUGAUGAGGAAAAUUGGGCCUGCUUGUGCAGUCCGAUACUUUCAUUUCGCAUAAUGCUGGUGUUAUUUUCUGGAAGAACGUCAAACCUGGCUUGCCACUCUUCUUGUUCAAUUACUCUGAUCGAAAAAUGUAUGGAGUAUAGGAAGCUACAAACAAUGGGGAAAUGAAUAUCAACCCAUAUGCAAUAACGAACUCAAUACCCUGAACAGGUCCGCAAUUGUAUCCGAAAGCAACACAAGUCAUUGUUGGAAGACCAGUGCAAACAAUACUCACAGACAACUAUUACACUGAAGAUUAUUUUUUGGUUUUAGCUCGACCAUUCCCAGACCGGUCAUUUGAUCUCGCUGUUUGAAUCCUCGCCCAUAGGCCAUAGCUAUCCCUAUGUAUCAUCUAGUGCUACUCCACGUGAGGAUGAAAACAACCAGAGAUUGGUACCUGAUAGGAGGAACUUGUUUACCGUAAACUAUUGCAGUUGCUAAUGAAAGAGAGAAGGAAAAUUGUGAUUCAGUAGGUGAUGAAGAAAAUGUUGGCGUGUCGUGUGGUUUUUAUGCUAGAGCUCUGUGGACUUCAAUUGUGAGUCAGGCACCAAUGUUCAAUUCAGAGAAGCAUGAAGUGGUCUCAACCAACUCUAUUGAGACUCACUUUUUCUGAACUACCUCUUCUGAUUUUCAGUGACUUUAGUCUAUUACAGAUCAGUUGACGCAAGAAGUUGAAGAGGUGAAGGUUCAACAACUUCAAAAGACUAGUCUAUUGGAUUUGGAGGUGAAACUGACCAAGGCAGAGAUUCAAGUCCAACAGUUGACUGAGUUUUUUCACUGCAUCUGUAGAGAGUCUAUAGAGACAAAUGCUGAUACCAUGUACAUGGAGGAGUUACUUGGCAAUAAUAAGCUGGAAUUCUUAUUUGGUGGAUACGAUGGAGCUGCUGGGUUGUCAAUCGUGGACUGUUUAUUCACCUCUUAGUGACACCAAGAAACCUUUAGGGCCACUGCUGCUGCCCUCUGUGGUGACAUUUACACAUUUGGUGGUGGAGAAUGGAGAUGAUACUUCGUGGUUCAAUACAGUUGAUGUAAUAAGCGUGCUACAUGGAAAUGUCUGGGAACAUUGACCUAGGCUGAAGCUAAACCAUGAUGAUGUUCCUUUAGCUUGCAUGUGUCUUAUUCAACCCUAGCUCUUGCUUGUUUGCUGAGCAGGCGACUGCUGCAGCCUUUUUUUAUCAUCAUCCUUUAUGUAGUUGGAAUUGUGAAUGGGAUGAAUCAUUGUGUCUUUUUGAGAUUUUCUAGUGCUGCAGCAGAGCUCUGGUGCAAUUUAUGCUGCUGGGGGAUGUGUAGCAGAAGACUACUUGAAGUAAGUAAUACUAUCAAGAAUAUUUUUUACUUGGGUACUCGACAGGAUGAAUGUAAUAUACAAACACCAGUUUAUUACUGUCUUACAUUGUAUAUGACCGUUACUUUUUUUCUUCUGGCCUUACAAAACCGUCUUUCAAC